rnacentral:rRNA from 1 species
ACAUGCCUACAACUUAGUGUUAAUGCAUCGUAUCUCAUUAAAACUCCGCAGUUAAGCACUUUUGAGCUAGAGUAGUAUUGGGAUGGGUGACCUCCCGGGAAGUCCUAGUAUUUUACAUGCC